rnacentral:rRNA from 1 species
CUUGUGCCAGCAGCCGCGGUAAUACAGAGGGUGCAAGCGUUAAUCGGAAUUACUGGGCGUAAAGCGCGCGUAGGUGGUUCGUUAAGUUGGAUGUGAAAUCCCCGGGCUCAACCUGGGAACUGCAUUCAAAACUGACGAGCUAGAGUAUGGUAGAGGGUGGUGGAUUUCCUGUGUAGCGGUGAAAUGCGUAGAUAUAGGAAGGAACACCAGUGGCGAAGGCGACCACCUGGACUGAUACUGACACUGAGGUGCGAAAGC